AUUGAACGCUGGCGGCAGGCCUAACACAUGCAAGUCGAACGAGUGGCGGACGGGUGAGUAAUGUCUGGGAAACUGCCUGAUGGAGGGGGAUAACUACUGGAAACGGUAGCUAAUACCGCUAACCAUCAGAUGUGCCCAGAUGGGAUUAGCGAGUUGGUGGGGUAUCGGCUCACCAAGGCGACGACCCCUAGCUGGUCUGAGAGGAUGACAGGCCACACUGGAACUGAGACACGGUCCAGACUCCUACGGGAGGCAGCAGUGGGGAAUAUUGGACAAUGGGCGCAAGCCUGAUGCAGCCAUGCCGCGUGUAUGAAGAAGGUCUUCGGGUUGUAAAGUACUGUCAGCAGGGAGGCGGUACCCGCAGAAGAAGCACCGGCUAACUCCGUGCCAGCAGCCGCGGUAAUAC
rnacentral:rRNA from 1 species